rnacentral:rRNA from 1 species
AUGAGGAACCAGAGGCUAGCUCCUAUCACUUGCUCCUCUUCAAAGACCAACAACACGAAGCGAGAGGAGCCACACCUCUCAGGGGCUUACAUUAGGAGCCUUGUGAAGCAUCUUAGCUCCACAUCUACGGCGAGAUCCAAAGACCACCAUCACAUCGCCAUGGGCACCAAAUCGCACCAAGAAGAGCAACAAGCCCCACAAACCACACCACCAUCUCUACAGCAGCAGCAGCCACACAAGAAGCAGGUGAGGAGGAGGCUCCACACGAGCAGGCCAUUCCAGGAGAGGCUACUCAACAUGGCGGAGGCGAGGCGAGAGAUCGUUACCGCUCUCAAGAUCCACAGAGCAUCCAUGAGAGAAGCCAAGGAGCAGCAGCAACAUCAACAACUUGUGCAACAAUUGCAGCAUCAGCAAGAGGUCCAGGUAGUGCAAGAUCAUAGGGUGGCUUUUAGUGCACCCAGCAUGAGCUCAUAUAGUUCUUUCUCAGAUUACUUGCACAGCAGUUCCCCAUUCGCACACACCACAGCAACAAGCAACAGUGGUUCCUCAUAUUAUUCAUCUCCUCCACUUCUCCCUUACCACACACCAGUAGUUGCACCCAUGGUUCCCAUGGUAGAUGCCUUAGAUCAGUUUCUGCCGCUGCCUACGCAGCCACUAGGGCUCAACCUCACCUUCGAUGGCUUUGGUGGUGGUGUUGCUGCCGAAGAUGCCAAGAACUGCACUGCUACUGGCCCCUUUGAUCCUCCUUCGUUGGUCCAACAAGCAUCACCCGCCUCCUCCUACUCUGUCUACUCCUCUCCGCCGCCGGCAACGAUGGUGAGCCAGGACAUGGCAUCCGUUGCUGCCGAGAACACCUCACAGUCGUUGCACCGGGUGCUGGACGAGGAGGAGAUGGCCGCGAUCCACUCGGCCGGGGAGCGGCAUGACAUCGAGUGGAGCGACACUGUGAACCUGGCCACGUCGGCGUGGUGGAGCAGGCUACUCGAGAGUGUGGAAGGCGACGGGGCCACGGCGGCGCAGCAAGCUAACACGGUGGACGCCAUGGGGAUGCAUCUGAGUGAUGAGUACUACGGCCAAGACGUGUCCUUUCCAUGUAUGGACAUCGGAGAGAUCAAAGGAUGGGACGCCCAGUGGUUAUCAUGA